GAUGAACGCUGGCGGCGUGCCUAAUACAUGCAAGUCGAGCGAACGGACGAGAAGCUUGCUUCUCUGAUGUUAGCGGCGGACGGGUGAGUAACACGUGGAUAACCUACCUAUAAGACUGGGAUAACUUCGGGAAACCGGAGCUAAUACCGGAUAAUAUUUUGAACCGCAUGGUUCAAAAGUGAAAGACGGUCUUGCUGUCACUUAUAGAUGGAUCCGCGCUGCAUUAGCUAGUUGGUAAGGUAACGGCGUACCAAGGCAACGAUGCAUAGCCGACCUGAGAGGGUGAUCGGCCACACUGGAACUGAGACACGGCCCAGACUCCUACGGGAGGCAGCAGUAGGGAAUCUUCCGCAAUGGGCGAAAGCCUGACGGAGCAACGCCGCGUGAGUGAUGAAGGUCUUCGGAUCGUAAACCUCUGUUAUUAGGGAAGAACAUAUGUGUAAGUAACUGUGCACAUCUUGACGGUACCUAAUCAGAAAGCCACGGCUAACUACGUG
rnacentral:rRNA from 1 species